AAAAUGUCCCUCAGCCAGGUGCUUAGCCCCUGGUAAUCUGAAGCUCAGGCCCUUCCUGAUGCCCUGGUCUCCUGCACUGAGCUGUGUGAGCUCUUCAGCCCAGGUGGGCUCCCUGACACUGAUGCGCAUAGAUGGUGAGCCUGGAGGAAGACUUGCAUUGGGCCCAAUGGACCCAGGCCAGUGGCCAUCAGCCAGGUGCCCACCCUGGUGUGCUGAAGCGCGGGACCUACCUGUUGUCCUGGUUUCCUACACUGAGCUGAGUGAGCUCUUCAACCCAGGCGGGGCACCCUGGCAUUCACCAGCAUAGACUGUGAAAUGGGAGGAAGAAUUGUGUUGGGCCCAAUGGCCCUGGGCCAGUAUCCGUCAGCCUGGUGUCCAGCCCCUGGUGUGCUGAAGCUCAUGCCCUUCCUGGUGCCCUAGUUUCCUGCACUGAGCUUGUGAGCUCUUUUGCCCAGAAGACUCCCUGGCAUUGAUCGGCAUAGAUGGCAGCGCUGGAGGAGGACUUGUACUGGGGCCGCUGGCCCCACAUCAGUGUCCGUCAUCCCGGCGUCCAGCCCCUGGUGUGCUGAAGCUCAGGCCCUUCCUUGUGCCCUAGUCUCCUGCACUGAGCUUGUGAGCUCUUCUGCUCAGGCGGGUCCCCUGGCAUUGACCAGCAUAGAUGGUGGCCCUGGAGGAGGACUUGUAUUGGGGCCACUGGCCCCACGUCAGUGUUCGUCAGCCUGGCAUCCAGCCCCUGGUGUGCUGAAGCUCAGGCCCUUCCUGUUGCCCUAGUCUCCUGCACUGAGCUUGUGAGCUCUUCUGCCCAGGUGGUCCCCCUGGUCUUGAUGGGCAUAGAUGGUGAGCCUGAAGGAAGACUUGCAUCAGGACCAAUGGACCCUGGCAAGUGUCCGUCAGCCAGGUGCUCAGCCCCUGGUGCACUGAAGCUCAGGCCCUUCCUGGCCCCUUGAUCUCCUGCACUGAGCUGUGUGAGCUCUUCUGCCAAGGGGGGGCCUCCUGGCAUUGACCAACAUAGAUGGUGAGCCUGGAGGAAGAUUUGCAUUGGGCCCAAUGGCCCUGGGCCAGUGUCUGUCAGCCAGUUUCCCAGCCCCUGGUGCACUGAAGCUCAGGCCUUUCCUGGCAUCCUGGCCUCCUGCACUGAGCUGUGUGAGUGCUUCUGCCCAGGCAGGCCACUUGGCAUUGACCGGUAUAG
rnacentral:lncRNA from 1 species